AGAAGAGACAGCGCCGCCGGCCGUGGGGAGCGGACGCAGUGAUUUGCUCCCCCUCGUGCAGCAACCCCCACACCCAGCACCAGGCCCCCAGAACUCUCCUUCCAGCUGAACUCCCUGGGAACAAGUCAGUUGGGCUGAUCACUGAACUCACAUUUCUGGACCUGAGGAGCCUGUUCCUCUCACGCCCUCACCUGGCUGAGCCGCAGUAGUUCUUCAGUGGCAAGCUUUAUGUCCUGACCCAGCUAAAGCUGCCAGUUGAAGAACUGUUGCCCUCUGCCCCUGGCUUCGAGGAGGAGGAGGAGCUGCUUUCCCCAUCAUCUGGAAGGCUUUCUGCCUCCGAGAUGUGGCACCAUAGUGCGGUGCCCUGUGGCUUCACCGCCCUACUUCCACCUCCGCCCAGCCUGUAAUGUUUAUAUAAGCAGCCUCAAGGACCAAGAACCAUCUGCGAAAGGACACACACAGGAAAUUCAUAAAAGAAAUCUGAAUGGAUAAAACCAUGAAAAAAAAGUAUGCUUCAUUAGUAAUUAAAGAAAGGCAAAUAGAGCUGGAAGCAUUUUUCCCUUAGCAAACCAUAACAGAAAAAAAUAAGACCCGAUAUUAGCAAAGAGACUACUGAAAAAACAUUCCCAUACAUUGCGUGUGGGAGUAUACAUCGGUGCAGGCUUCCUGGAUGACAGUUGGGUGAUAUGUGUCAUGUGGCCUAAAAGCCUCCAUGUCAUUUGACCUACGAAUUCUAUCUUUGGGAAUUUAUCCUA
rnacentral:lncRNA from 1 species